rnacentral:rRNA from 1 species
GCUGACAUAAGUAACGAUAAAGCGGGUGAAAAGCCCGCUCGCCGGAAGACCAAGGGUUCCUGUCCAACGUUAAUCGGGGCAGGGUGAGUCGACCCCUAAGGCGAGGCCGAAAGGCGUAGUCGAUGGGAAACGGGUUAAUAUUCCCGUACUUGGUGUUACUGCGAAGGGGGGACGGAGAAGGCUAUGUUGGCCGGGCGACGGUUGUCCCGGUUUAAGCGUGUAGGUGUGUGUUCCAGGUAAAUCCGGUU